CACAGGAGCUUUUCCUCAACCAACAAAGCUCGUUGACCUGUCGGUUGAGUGGGCGCACUUGUGGCUAAAAUAAAAUUGUGGCGGGGCUCUUAAUUCCUGGCCCUCUCACACUUACCCAAAUGGUCAGGAUCGUUGUCGAGCUUCCGCAGACCUUGCUGAUCAUCUGAUCAUUUGAAUCAGCUGUGUUGCACCUGUGAGAAAACGGGCAGCAGAGUGUCACCUGCUUAACAUAGGCGUGUUUGUCCUGCUUUUGUCCACCAGAUAGUGCUGAAGGACCUGAUGCAGGUUGUGAAGUCGAGCCGUCCCUCCUCAACGUUUGGACCUGUUGCAAAAUUCCAUGCCAAGUCCUUGAACUGUUGCUUCGCAGCUUGCAGUAAGAGUGCUGCCAGAGAUCCUCAAACUGCUGGGCCAAGAGACAAAUGCGACAAGCUCGAAGCAGUGUUGGCAGGUUUGACCACCUUGGAUGAGUUGCUGGACCAGUAGCAGCUUGGCCUAUUGGUGCUGAUCACGCUAGACCAGCUGUUGCAGCAAAAGGUUCCAGUCUCCAGUUGCUGCGGCAGCGUAGAGUAAAACGGAACUGCGUUUCAGAGUUGAAGGAAAACGUUUUUGGGUCCUCUGUGCCGCAAGAGGGGAGGAACCUGCUCACUGCCAGAGUCCACAGUCGAGCAGAAAACACUUUUUGCCCUUCUUCUUACUCUGUUAUUUGCAAGUGUCCCCUUCUCGAAGCGGCAAUAAACGCGAUCCGCUUCCUGCUGAUAAAAGACCACACCGCUUGUCUCUCUCGCUGGCAAGUUUCUUGCCAAAAACAUCUUUGUCUGUACAACAAAUUGACUUGUGUGGAACUCACGGAUGUCUUUCCUCAGGUCAACACACCUGUCCCGUGUUCCUCUCACGAGCCGACCACUUCGCUGCCCAGCAACAGACUGCCAUCCAGCUUACAACUUUUUCUUCUGCUUUGUCUACUCUGCAAAAGAAAUAAAGCUUGAUUACAAAG